UACGGAGGGUGCGAGCGUUGUUCGGAAUUAUUGGGCGUAAAGCGCGUGUAGGCGGCUCCUUAAGUCUGAUGUGAAAGCCCUGGGCUCAACCCGGGAAGUGCAUUGGAAACUGGGGAACUUGAAUACGGGAGAGGGUAGUGGAAUUCCUGGUGUAGGAGUGAAAUCCGUAGAUAUCAGGAGGAACACCGGUGGCGAAGGCGGCUGCCUGGACCGAUAUUGACGCUGAGACGCGAAAGCGUGGGGAGCAAAC
rnacentral:rRNA from 1 species